CAUAUCAUUCUCAAUGAUGAAUGUUCAGUGGACCGAGGAAGGAAAUGAAUUGGACGUAGCUACUGUAGAAGCUUUCUUACAAUGCACAUGGAACCUUAACUGUUAAUGUAAAGAAUUUUAUAGGCAUGUGUUAGCAAACAAGGACCUGUUAACAAAAGCUAUAUCAUUAGUGAAAUAUAAUUAAAGAUUCGGAAUCUCCGCAGUCAAAAAGAUGGGUUUCUGAAGGGAAAACCCCACCCAAAAAAAUAACCGAAAGGGGGUGCGGUCGAUGUCCUUUACCCCUGCCCCACAAUGGCAUUCGUUGUUUGCCAUUUGGAAGAUGAAAGAAAAACAGUGAUCGAAGUUGUAAAGAAAUAUUUAUUUACCGUUACUUUGUAUAUAUCCAAAACCACGAUGGGUUGGUACGUUUUAGUAAAUGGAAAAGCAUGCGAGCUAAUGAGUUAAUUUCGGCCGAUAUGUGUGUGUACAGGUUCCCGUAGUAGUAAACCAUAGUGAUAGAAUGAUGUUGUAAGAGAAAAGAAAUUGAGCUUGUGAAAGUUAUAAGAGUCGAUGGACGUUGUGUGUCAUCGUUGGCUGAUUGUAACCUGUCUUCCUUCUGACCGUUUGGCUUUAGUGGUUGCCUGCUUGUGUCCGUGACCAGUUGGUCUCUGUUCACUAACUGUUGCUCUCACUAAUUCCUUUAUUACCAAUACAUGGCUCACAAAGAGGAGACAGCACAAGGACAAAAC